UUUCGCUCCUAACAAAAACUUUUCUAUCCCAAACAAAUCUAAAAUCAAAAUAGAUUAUCAAAACUCGUUUUCUCUCAUGUUCUCACCGCUGUUUUGAUUUUCCUUACCGUUCUCCUGCUUCACGUGUUGCCAUCCUCACAUCAGAAACAAUUGUUUAUCUUAGUGGUUUGUGAUGAGUCUUGCCCUAAUUACUCUUGUUAUCAUUCUUCCUUUGACAAUUAGGUAUUUAAAACAAGGGAUUUUGCUUUGUAAUCGACAUCAAGGUCUGAAGCUUCAGGUACAAAACUAACCCUAAAAUUCUUUACCUGUCACUCUGUUUGAAGAUCGAUCUGAUUUAAUAAUUUCCACUCUAUAUAAAUAAAUUUUUAAAAUGUGAAAAUCUUUCUUAUACUAGUAGUUGCUGAAAAUAUAAGUUCUGUAAAAAAUUAUGUAUACUGGUUUUGAGUGUUGCGGAAAAAGCAGGAUUUACUGUGGUUCGGUUAGGUUAGUUCAAUUUAUUACAUAGAUUUUUCGUUUUCAUCUUCUGGGUUUCUAAGUUGCAGAUCUGAUCUCUGAUUGUAGUUUUUUCACAAAAUACACUUAAGAGGUUCAUCUUUUUUGUAUAGCUCUUAGUUUUGCAUUAGAUUUGGUAGAAUUAUGGUGGCAUAGUAGGGUUGUAACACACAGUGGAGGGAUAACAUUACACAAAUUUCAGAAGAAGAAAUUCACUUAGAUCUUGUUUUUAGAAUAUAACAGGAGAAGAAGUUAACAAGCAAAAGUAUCAAGUGAAAUGGUAUGUGUUGAUUGGUUGCUUACACACCAUGUUGUAGGAAAAAUCAAGUGAGAAAAAGAAGUUUAUUUGUCUCUGGAUUUUUAGAAAAUAGCAGUAGAAGAAAUUGAUGAGCAAUUAGCAAACAUAUGCUUUAGAGAGAGAGAAGUGAUUUCAAUUAGAUUUUAUCUAAACAAUGUGUGGUGGAGUGUAGAACUAGAAACUAAUGAAAAGUGGAAAAGCAGAAAAUAAAAGUUUGGGUAAAUGAAUCUUUGAGAAGGUUAAUUAAUAAAAUAGUUGAAUUGUCACUUCAACUUUCCAAAGCAAAGGACAUUAUUCUGUCAAAAUUCAGAGUAUUAAUUGUUUUGUUCAAUCAAUAUAGUCAUAGUAAAUUUUGAGUUUCGAGAUCUUUUCAUUUAAUAUAUUAUUAUUUAAUUAUUAUUAAACUUGUAGAUAACAACUAAAGAGUUGUCAAUUAUACUACAUCAUGUAAACCGAUUUAGAACCAAACCAAAUCAUAUGUAAACCGGUUUUAAAAAAAUAAACCGGUUUUAGUAAAACAGUUUUGAGAUCCAAACCAAACCAUAUAUGUUGUCGGUUAAACCGGUUUUUAUUGUUGGUUAAAUCAGUUUGGAUUGGAUUCGGUUUUUUGUCCACCCCUACUUAUCUUCUUGUAUUGAAAUGAAAUUAAAAAGAACUCACUCAAUUUUUUUUUCAAUUUCAUUAUAGUUAUAGAUUAUAUUUAUAUUUCUUACCUUGUCCUCUAGAUUUUCAUGUUUACAAAUUAUAGUUAUAUAUUAUAUUAAAUAUUAUCACAUUCCCUGUUAGAGGAUUAUUAUUUAAACAACUAAAUCCAUUUGUUUUCAUCUCACAUAAUACCUUUCCCUAGCUAAGCAAUGGAAUACUCAUCAAAUUUGUGAAACACCAUGGCCCAGCACCUACUUAUCGAAUUUGUGUUCAAAAGAAGGUCAAAAUUUGAUAGUUGUUUAGGAAAAUGUAUCUAGUAUUAGCCAAUCGGAUUCAUCAUAGAAACACUCUAAUCAACCUAUUUAUAAUUUAAUAGCUUAUAUGUUUGGAUCUUAGUUCACUACUGAUGGAAGAGCUUAUAUGUUAGAAAUUUUGGAAUUUUAGAAAAUGAUCUACGGACUUAUAAUUUUAAGAAGGGAUUUUUUUAUUCUUUAUGGCAAUGAUACUACCUAGAAAUCAUGUUGGAUAUUUUUUUAUUUAUUAAAAAAAAUAUCUGAUUUAUAAAAUUCCACUCAAUAUUAGUGUAAUAAAUAUUUGUCUGGCUGUGAUUUGGAAUAGAAAAUAGAAAAAUAUAAUUGUUUUUUGAUUUGGUAUAUCUUGAAUAACUGUUGCACUGGCUCUUUCAUUUGUUUUUGUUAAUUAAAUGGAAAUGUUUCAGUUAAUUUUGUCAAAUGGAGUCUAGAGAGUGGAUCCUUGAUCUAUCAAAACAAAGUGAAGAAUAUAUUCGAGGGGUUAAUGAAUUUCUUGAAUUUGCUUUUCAAAAGUCUGAAGAAAAUGAAAAAAUACUGUGUCCUUGUAUAAAAUGUGCCAACUGUAAGUCACAUACUCGCUCAAGUGUUUAUGAACACUUAAUUAAUUUGCGUCGUGGAUUCCUUAGAGGUUAUACACAAUGGAUAUUUCAUGGUGAGAAACCCAUAACUUCAAGUGACACCAAUGAACAACAUUUUGAAAUGGGGCAUGAUAUGGAUGGGUUAAUUCAUGAUGGUUUUGCAAUGCCUACAUUUUCUGGUGAAGGUAAAAGGAAUCCAGAAGUAGGAGAAAAUGUUAAAUUUUACAAAUUGGUGAAAGAGAAUGAGCAAUUUCUAUAUCCAAAUUGUAAGAAGUAUAGCAAACUAUCCUUUGCAUUUAUAUCUUUUAAAGUGUCUUCAUGGGUGGAGCGACAAGUCAGUUUCUAUGUUAUUAGAUUUAUUGAGAGAUGCUCUACCAGAAGGAAAUGUUUUACCAAAGUCAUACUAUGAAACAAAGAAGAUGAUUUUAGGGUUAGGAAUGGGGUAUGAAAAGAUCCAUGCUUGUCCCAAUGAUUGCCUAUUGUAUUGGGAUAAACAUAUCAAUGACCAAAUAUGUUAAAAGUGUGGUACUUCAAGGUGGAAAACAACAAAUGAGGAUGUACAAGCUAAUGGAAAAGAGACUUCUGAAAAGCGGAAGAACUUACCCGCAAAAAUCCUUCGUUGGUUUCCUUUAAAACCAAGGUUGUAGAGGUUAUUCAUGUCAUCUAAAAUAUCUGAAUCAAUGAGAUGGCACCAUGAGAGUAGAUUGAAUGAUGGUUCUCUUAGGCAUCCGGCUGAAUCACUUGCUUGGAAGGAAUUUAACUCCUGAUAUCCAACAUUUUCGUUAGAUCCACGUAAUGUUCGAUUAGGGGUGGCUUCUGAUGGAUUUAAUCCUUUUUAGACUAUGUGUAUAACUCAUAGCAGUUGGCCUACCAUCCUAAUUCCUUAUAAUCUUCCUCAAUUGAGAAAAGCAGCAAGAUUGAUUUGUCAACACUUUUGUUCAGUUAUAUAUAGAUUUGCUGGAGAAGAUGUGAAUGACAUUUUACGAGCUGCAAGACAGGUAACAAAUGCUUCUAGUUCCCCUGACCAAAGGAAUUCUCCAAGUCCUUCCACUAACGAAGAUCAAAGAGAGAAAGGAGUGAAGACCCAUUUUGGUCCCUCACAAAAACUACAGAACCCAAAUUAGUCCUCCACAAAAAAUAGGACCCGAUUUAAUCCCUUACAAAAUAUAACCGGGUCAUAUUAGUCCUUCUGGGGAUAUUUUAUUCAAACCGGUUUUUUCUUCUACUUUUAAACCGUGACUGGACCGCCAAGUCGUAUUUUAUUUUUCAUUUUUUAAAUACUAAAUUGAUUUCUAUUUUUAAUUUCGAUUUUAUUUUUAAACAAUUUGGAUUUUAAAAUACAAAAAAAGAUAAGAUUUGUUCUGAAAAGGAAUCGAACUUAAGACAUUUAGGUCACAUCCUAUGCCUUUACCACUAUGCCAACGUACACUUGUGACAAAUAAUUCGCAUGAUUUAUAGUAAUAUUAAACAAUUAUAAAUUUAAAAUAUAAAAUAUAAAAUUUGUACCCAUGAGGUCUCAAACUCAAGUCCCUUCAAAUUUAAUGAUAGUCACUUCACUGUAAAUAUGAAAAGUGAUUUAAGAGCGGGUGAAUCAGUUAGAUUAAUCGGUAUUAGUGAAUUUUUCUCGAUUAUGAA